rnacentral:rRNA from 1 species
CAGCACCUCAAGUGGUCAGGAUGAUUAUUGGGCCUAAAGCAUCCGUAGCCGGCGCUGUAAGUUUUCGGUUAAAUCUGUACGCUCAACGUACAGGCUGCCGGGAAUACUGCAGCGCUAGGGAGUAGGAGAGGUAGACGGUACUCGGUAGGAAGGGGUAAAAUCCUUUGAUCUAUUGAUGACCACCUGUGGCGAAGGCGGUCUACCAGAACACGUCCGACGGUGAGGGAUGAAAGCUGGGGGAGCAAACCGGAUUAGAGACCCGAGUAGUCC